AUAGCUGAACUUUCUGCUGCUCGGGAGGAGUUGGCACUUUCUAAAUCACUAGUACUGAAUUUGGAGAAAAGACUAAAUUCAAAAGGAGCUCUUAUUAAUGAACUGACUGAAGAGUUGGACCUGAAAAAGGCUUCAGAAUCCAAGGUGAAGGAAGAUAUCUCAACUCUUGAGAAUAUUUUUACUGCAACUAAAGAAGAUCUUCAAGCAAAGGUUUCUGAGUUGGAAGUUAUCAAGCAUAAACUAGACGAGGAAGUGAAAGCAAGGGAAUUGGUUGAAGCUGGGCUGAAGGCCCAACAAGAACAGGUCUCGAUUGUACGGGAAGAAUCAAGUAAAGUACUAAAAGAAAAAGAAGAUCGGAUGGCCUCCCUGAAGGAAGAAGUGAAGGGCCUGUAUGAGAAGGUUGCUGAAAAUCAGAAGGUCAAUGAAGCACUUCAAAGCAGAAUAGCUGAACUUUCUGCAGCUCAGGAGGAGUUGGCACUUUCUAAAUCACUAGUACUGAAUUUGGAGGAAAGACUUAAUUCAAAGGAAGCUCUUGUUAAUGAACUGACUGAAGAGUUGGACCUGAAAAAGGCUUCAGAAUCCAAGGUGAAGGAAGAUAUCUCAACUCUUGAGAAUAUUUUUACUGCAACUAAAGAAGAUCUUCAAGCAAAGGUUUCUGAGUUGGAAGUUAUCAAGCAUAAACUAGA
rnacentral:lncRNA from 1 species